GUAAUGUCUGGGAAACUGCCUGAUGGAGGGGGAUAACUGCUGGAAACGGUAGCUAAUACCGCAUAACGUCGCAAGACCAAAGAGGGGGACCUUCGGGCCUCUUGCCAUCGGAUGUGCCCAGAUGGGAUUAGCUAGUAGGUGGGGUAACGGCUCACCUAGGCGACGAUCCCUAGCUGGUCUGAGAGGAUGACCAGCCACACUGGAACUGAGACACGGUCCAG
rnacentral:rRNA from 1 species